AGAGUUUGAUCAUGGCUCAGAUUGAACGCUGGCGGCAGGCCUAACACAUGCAAGUCGAACGGUAACAGGAAGAAGCUUGCUUCUUUGCUGACGAGUGGCGGACGGGUGAGUAAUGUCUGGGAAACUGCCUGAUGGAGGGGGAUAACUACUGGAAACGGUAGCUAAUACCGCAUAACGUCGCAAGACCAAAGAGGGGGACCUUCGGGCCUCUUGCCAUCGGAUGUGCCCAGAUGGGAUUAGCUAGUAGGUGGGGUAACGGCUCACCUAGGCGACGAUCCCUAGCUGGUCUGAGAGGAUGACCAGCCACACUGGAACUGAGACACGGUCCAGACUCCUACGGGAGGCAGCAGUGGGGAAUAUUGCACAAUGGGCGCAAGCCUGAUGCAGCCAUGCCGCGUGUAUGAAGAAGGCCUUCGGGUUGUAAAGUACUUUCAGCGGGGAGGAAGGGAGUAAAGUUAAUACCUUUGCUCAUUGACGUUACCCGCAGAAGAAGCACCGGCUAACUCCGUGCCAGCAGCCGCGGUAAUACGGAGGGUGCAAGCGUUAAUCGGAAUUACUGGGCGUAAAGCGCACGCAGGCGGUUUGUUAAGUCAGAUGUGAAAUCCCCGGGCUCAACCUGGGAACUGCAUCUGAUACUGGCAAGCUUGAGUCUCGUAGAGGGGGGUAGAAUUCCAGGUGUAGCGGUGAAAUGCGUAGAGAUCUGGAGGAAUACCGGUGGCGAAGGCGGCCCCCUGGACGAAGACUGACGCUCAGGUGCGAAAGCGUGGGGAGCAAACAGGAUUAGAUACCCUGGUAGUCCACGCCGUAAACGAUGUCGACUUGGAGGUUGUGCCCUUGAGGCGUGGCUUCCGGAGCUAACGCGUUAAGUCGACCGCCUGGGGAGUACGGCCGCAAGGUUAAAACUCAAAUGAAUUGACGGGGGCCCGCACAAGCGGUGGAGCAUGUGGUUUAAUUCGAUGCAACGCGAAGAACCUUACCUGGUCUUGACAUCCACGGAAGUUUUCAGAGAUGAGAAUGUGCCUUCGGGAACCGUGAGACAGGUGCUGCAUGGCUGUCGUCAGCUCGUGUUGUGAAAUGUUGGGUUAAGUCCCGCAACGAGCGCAACCCUUAUCCUUUGUUGCCAGCGGUCCGGCCGGGAACUCAAAGGAGACUGCCAGUGAUAAACUGGAGGAAGGUGGGGAUGACGUCGAGUCAUCAUGGCCCUUACGACCAGGGCUACACACGUGCUACAAUGGCGCAUACAAAGAGAAGCGACCUCGCGAGAGCAAGCGGACCUCAUAAAGUGCGUCGUAGUCCGGAUUGGAGUCUGCAACUCGACUCCAUGAAGUCGGAAUCGCUAGUAAUCGUGGAUCAGAAUGCCACGGUGAAUACGUUCCCGGGCCUUGUACACACCGCCCGUCACACCAUGGGAGUGGGUUGC
rnacentral:rRNA from 1 species